ACAAAUGCGAUGUCACAAAGGGUAACUGUAUGGUGCAUAUAAAGGGUUAACUUGAGGGGCCUGCUGGAGAAGUAGCUCCCACAUAAGGAUGACUGUUGCUUCUCCUUUGUCUUCAAUUGUAAGUAAUAAAUCCACUAGUUAUCUGUACCUGUUGCCUUGACUAUUCUACUUGAGCAUAAUCGUAUGAAUGAAAGAAAAAAAAAACCCACUAUUUUUAAAUGAUCAUUCUCCUUAUGCUCUAUGCUGGGACUCAGAGCCAUCUAGGAGGCUGUUGUUUGGAAAGCUUUGCCUGUAAAUCCAUCAUAUGCGUGGAUUCAGGAGUAGGAGUGGAAUCAACAUGUUAUUGAUAUAAGCAAGGCAAGAAAACUAUGGCACUGAAAGUUUAAGUUUAAUAUCCUGAUUUUCAUAGUCAAAAUGUCACCAAGACAAAAUUCAAAGAACGUUGGACUGUACUCCAAAAGAGAACACGCAACUCCUCACAGAUUGUUGCCUAAGCACGUAGUAGGCUUGGUAAGAAAAAAAGUGCCAUCAUGUCACCUUCAUUUAUUCUACCUCUACUUCGCCAUGAGAACUUACAGCAUCUCCACUACUAGCAUCAGUACUGAAAUAAUCAUUCCAAUCUCCCUGCUUAUCAGAAUGUGGUCCCCAAAGAAAGAAGGAAAUUCCUCCUUGUCACCAAUAUUCAAGAUUGGCCUUUUAUUUGGAUGUUAGAAAGUGAGUAUCCAUUUCAUCAAGUGAAAAACAAAAACAGAAAAAAAAUAUAUAUAUAUACAUAGUUUAUAUAUAUAUAUGCAUAUAUAUAAACAA
rnacentral:lncRNA from 1 species